CUCCCCUCCUAAAACAGUAACGCGGGGUCGUUACAAUAUGAAUACGGUUUGGCAAGCUAACAAAAUCAACUAAAUGUACUGUUUGAUAAUAAUAAAGUCAGACAAAAGGAAACUGGUGGGUUGUACUGCAUUAAAAGGGGAAAGAAAAAAAAACACAAUGCGGCGCGCGCAGAGUGGCGGGACGGCACGGCACGCACUGUAGAAACAGGAAAUAGCUCCGGUUAAAAGGCGCCUGACAGAGCAACACUCGGCGGAGCGAUCGAGUCCGGCGGGUGAUCUGAGGUUUCUACACAUGAACAGAGCCCGUUUAUUAUCCUAACAUUCAUGUUUUAGCCAAAGGAAAGCAAACGCGAGCACAGCUGAGUUGUUUGGAGCGUGCGCGCGGAAAGUCUUGACACUGAGUUUCCCGUCGCCUCUCCCGCGAGCCAUAUUUCCUGCGGUCUGACUGUCAGCGGUGUCACAUGCCUGUGGCGCGCGCUGCUCGCAUACGAAAGACGUGCAGGUAAGGAACAGCGUCACCCUGCAGACUGCGGUUAGAAGCGCACCUUCCUUCCCGCGUGACACGUGGGCGCUAUGGGGAUCGAGCGGAUCUGGGCUCUGGGACUUCUGCUGGCGCUCGUGCCAUGGCUGUGCCAGUGCAUAUCGGUUACUUUCCAGCAUAUCCAGCAACCCCUCCAUGUGAUUCUGAAUGAGACCAUGGUUCUGGAAGCCCACAUUCAGAGCCCUAAGGAGCAAAUUGCUCAUGUGACCUGGGAAAUACGGGCAGAGAGCAGCACUGGCUUGAGGAAGGUUACAGUGGCAGAGUUCCCAGGCUCCAACAUCAAUUCCCGGAUAACUACGGGCAAUAAUGGGGCCACACUGAGGGUGCUGGGCUUCCGCAGGGAAGACUGCGGGAUUUACACGUUAACCGUGACCAGCCAGUCCCGCACUUCUGCGUCUGCAGACUGCAUUGUGCAGGAAUACAAGGCUGUGCAUCAUGUCACCGUGUCCAUCAACGUGUCCCACACCAGUCUGCUGUGUCAGGAAGCCUGGGGCACUGACCCCAAAUUUAAAUGGCUGCAUGAGAGAACCCAGAUGAAUGAGGAGGAGACGAAGAAGAUACUUGAACAGAAGGGAGCGGCUAACUGAGUCGUAUGAGGUUCAGUUCUGAAGAACCACACUGGACAGAAAGCUGACUGAGGGCCCAUCCCUUCCUCUCGCUGUCUGAACUUCCACUGCCUGUUGGGGACACUGCGCUGCAGGAACUGCAGGAAAUGAACGCCAUCCAUUGGGAGGGGUUUCCUCCUGUGUGCACCCCUUUGACCUCCUGCUGAGCUUUGGAACAGUGGGGGGAGCUGACUGCUUGACAGCAGUUUGAAGCUUGAUAGUAGAGGAGAUCUGUUUUUGUUUUGAAUUUCAGCUUCAGUCUUCUGUUAUGAUAAUGAUUAAAUUGAUAAACAAUUGUCUGUAAAAUUCUAUGGAAUGAUUUUUGUAAUGACCUUUUACAUAGAAAAAUAAAUUAAAGGAAUUUUUAUGCUUUUUUUAAAAA
rnacentral:lncRNA from 1 species